UUACUGUCACCGAGGAGCAAAGAAACCAGAAAAUAAGAAGCUGGAAUCGGAGAAUUUGGAUGUUUUUUCUUUAAAAAAGGACUCAAAGCGAUUAAUCGGUCCUCAAAAAUAGCUGGUGAUUAAUUUAGUAGUUGACAACUAAUCGUUUAAUCGACUAUUCGUUGCAGGUCUAGUCCACACCGGACCACCUUCAAACUUCGAGUGAUUACUCUUCAGGUCCGCCCCCCUCAGCGGCGAGACGACAGGACAAGAAAAUGUCAGCUGAGCCGCAUGCUGCAACACGUCCUCAUAUCUGGACGCCAAAAUAGGGUAAGACCGUUUUCCAAAACCACGUCCAUGACUAUGUUCACCCUGCAGGCUUUACUUGCCCAGAUGUUUUGAUUGACAGGUCACGUUAUUGUUUAAAUGCGGCCCUGAGAACUAGAAGAAGAAUAAACGACGUCACACGCAGCACGCUGUCGUACAGAAGUCAACAUGGAGCCACAGAGCGCUCUCUCUCUCUGCUGUUUCCGCUCGGACAGGCAGCAUGCAGGUGACCCGCUGGAUUUCAGGUGGAAGAAAGGGAAUCUGUGAGCAGAUGAAAGCGAGGACGAGCAGAAGAGGGCCACGUGUUUAAAUCUGGCUUUUUGUGGAGCUUUUCGGUUCACUGCGGCUCCGUCGAGCGCAGAAUUGUAAAGACGGUCGCUCUACAGUGAUGUUGCACGAACUCCUGUCACCAUCAGAGGAGCUGAGGUGGAGCAGGUCAACAGUUUCAGGUUCCUGGGAAUCAGCAUCACGCUGCUGAAGAAAGCUCAGAAACGACUUCAGGAUUUCUUGAGGAAUCUUCUUAAGAAGAUUAAAUUCCCACGCCAAGUUCCUGUCAGCUUUUACAGAGGAGCAACAGAAAGCAUCACCAACAUGGGAUGCGCACGGCCCCGGACGUGGGCUGACAUAUAUUUAUAACGCAGAGCCCAAAGGAUCCUAAAGGACAGAACCCACCCAGCCACAGCCUGUUCACCCUGCUGCCUUCUGGGAAGGAGUCUGCAGAGCAUCUCGGUCUCAGUGAAUGCUGCUUCUACUGAGUGCAAUAAAACGUUCAUAAAAUAUAUACUUCGAAUCAUUUAUCACUGGGGUGGGUGGUGCAGUGGAUAAGACACAUGCCUUUGGUGUUGUAGACCCGGGUUCAAUCCCCCGCCGUGAA